UACGUAGGGUGCAAGCGUUAAUCGGAAUUACUGGGCGUAAAGCGUGCGCAGGCGGUCUUGUAAGCCAGAUGUGAAAGCCCCGGGCUCAACCUGGGAACUGCAUUUGGGACUGCAAGGCUGGAGUACGGCAGAGGGAGGUGGAAUUCCACGUGUAGCAGUGAAAUGCGUAGAGAUGUGGAGGAACACCGAUGGCGAAGGCAGCCUCCUGGGCUAGUACUGACGCUCAUGCACGAAAGCGUGGGGAGCAAACAGG
rnacentral:rRNA from 1 species